AGAGUUUGAUCCUGGCUCAGGAUGAACGCUAGCGGCAGGCUUAACACAUGCAAGUCGAGGGGCAUCAUUACGGUUAGCAAUAACCGUAGAUGGCGACCGGCGCAAGGGUGCGUAACGCGUGAGCAACAUGCCCGUAUCAGGGGGAUAACCCGGAGAAAUCCGGACUAAAACCCCAUAACGACCCGGAGAGGCAUCUUUUCGGGUUCAAAUCUAUGGAGGAUACGGAUUGGCUCGCGUAACAUUAGCUGGAUGGAGAGGUAACGGCUCCCCAUGGCGACGAUGUUUAGGGGUUCUGAGAGGAAGGUCCCCCACACUGGAACUGAGAUACGGUCCAGACUCCUACGGGAGGCAGCAGUGAGGAAUAUUGGACAAUGGAUGGAAAUCUGAUCCAGCCAUGCCGCGUGCAGGAAGAGAGCCCUAUGGGUUUUAAACUGCUUUUGUAUGGGAGCAAUAAGUUGUUUUCGGAACGAUGAUGAGAGUACCAUACGAAUAAGCAUCGGCUAACUCCGUGCCAGCAGCCGCGGUAAUACGGAGGAUGCGAGCGUUAUCCGGAUUUAUUGGGUUUAAAGGGUGCGUAGGCGGUUACCGUAAGUCAGUGGUGAAAACCCCCCGCCCAACGGGGGACGUGCCACAGAAACUGCGGAGCUGGAAUAUGGGCGCUGUUGGCGGAAUGUGUAGUGUAGCGGUGAAAUGCAUAGAUAUUACACAGAACACCGAUUGCGAAGGCAGCCAACAAGGGCAAUAUUGACGCUGAUGCACGAAAGUGUGGGGAUCGAACAGGAUUAGAUACCCUGGUAGUCCACACAGUAAACGAUGAUAACUCGCUGUCGGCGAUACACAGUCGGUAGUCAAGCGAAAGCGAUAAGUUAUCCACCUGGGGAGUACGACCGCAAGGUUGAAACUCAAAGGAAUUGACGGGGGCCCGCACAAGCGGAGGAACAUGUGGUUUAAUUCGAUGAUACGCGAGGAACCUUACCCGGGCUCGAACGGUAUGCGGCGAUACCAGAGAUGGUGUUUUCAGCAAUGACGCAUAUCGAGGUGCUGCAUGGUUGUCGUCAGCUCGUGCCGUGAGGUGUCGGCUUAAGUGCCAUAACGAGCGCAACCCUCAUCGACAGUUACCAUCGGUUAAAGCCGGGGACUUUGUCGAGACUGCCGCCGUAAGGUGCGAGGAAGGUGGGGAUGACGUCAAAUCAGCACGGCCCUUACGUCCGGGGCGACACACGUGUUACAAUGGCAGGUACAGAGAGCGAGCCGGUGACGGCGAGGGAAUCUCGAAAGCCUGUCUCAGUUCGGAUUGGAGUCUGCAACCCGACUCCAUGAAGUUGGAUUCGCUAGUAAUCGCGCAUCAGCCAUGGCGCGGUGAAUACGUUCCCGGGCCUUGUACACACCGCCCGUCAAGCCAUGGAAGCCGGGGGUGCCUGAAGCUCGAGACCGCGAGGAUCGAUCAAGGGCAAAACCGGUAACUGGGGCUAAGUCGUAACAAGGUAACC
rnacentral:rRNA from 1 species